CAGUCGCCGCGGUAAUACGAAGGGGGCUAGCGUUGUUCGGAUUUACUGGGCGUAAAGCGCACGUAGGCGGACUUUUAAGUCAGGGGUGAAAUCCCGGGGCUCAACCCCGGAACUGCCUUUGAUACUGGAAGUCUUGAGUAUGGUAGAGGUGAGUGGAAUUCCGAGUGUAGAGGUGAAAUUCGUAGAUAUUCGGAGGAACACCAGUGGCGAAGGCGGCUCACUGGACCAUUACUGACGCUGAGGUGCGAAAGCGUGGGGAGCAAACAGGAUUAGAUACCCCGGUAGUCCCUGUCUCUUAUAC
rnacentral:rRNA from 1 species